rnacentral:rRNA from 1 species
AUCUAUGGCCAUACCACCCUGAACACACCUGAUCUCACCUGAUCUUGGAAGCUAAGCAGGGUUGGGCCUGUUAGUACCUGAAUGGGAGACAUUUACCUCUCUUAACAAGUGACAAGAUC